rnacentral:rRNA from 1 species
CGGUGUUCAACUGGCGUGUCCGCGGGACGUCCUGCCGGUGGGCUUAGCCCGCAAGGGCGGCCCAACUUCAAAUCCCAUCGCGGUGCUCUUCACUGAGUGUCGAGGUGGGCCGGCACGUUUACUUUGAACAAAUUAGAGUGCUUAAAGCAGGCUAAAACUUCGCCUGAAUACUGUGUGCAUGGAAUAAUGGAAUAGGACCUCGGUUCUAUUUUGUUGGUUUUCGGAACCCCGAGGUAAUGAUUAAUAGGAACGGAUGGGGGCAUUCGUAUUGCGACGUUAGAGGUGAAAUUCUUGGAUCGUCGCAAGACGGACAGAAGCGAAAGCAUUUGCCAAAAACGCUUUCAUUGAUCAAGAACGAAAGUUAGAGGUUCGAAGGCGAUCAGAUACCGCCUUAGUUCUAACCAUAAACGAUGCCAGCUAGCGAUCCGUCGACGUUCCUCCGAUGACUCGACGGGCAGCUUCCGGGAAACCAAAGCUUUUGGGUUCCGGGGGAAGUAUGGUUGCAAAGCUGAAACUUAAAGGAAUUGACGGAAGGGCACCACCAGGAGUGGAGCCUGCGGCUUAAUUUGACUCAACACGGGAAACCUCACCAGGCCCGGACACCGGAAGGAUUGACAGAUUGAGAGCUCUUUCUUGAUUCGGUGGGUGGUGGUGCAUGGCCGUUCUUAGUUGGUGGAGCGAUUUGUCUGGUUAAUUCCGAUAACGAACGAGACUCUAGCCUGCUAACUAGGCGUAUUUUCGACAUCUCAAAGGUCCGUCGUCCCGGCCCUCGGGUCGUGGGCGUGCGCGAUUUUUACUGUCGGCGUACUAUCAAUUCUUCUUAGAGGGACAGGUGGCUUCUAGCCGCACGAGAUUGAGCAAUAACAGGUCUGUGAUG